CAGUCGAACGGAUAUCUUCGGAUAUGAGUGGCGAACGGGUGAGUAACACGUACGGAACCUGCCUGCAUGAGCGGGAGAACUUCUGGAAACGGAAGCUGAUACCGGAUGAGCAAAGAGGAGGCAUCUUCUUUUUGGAAAAGGGGACAAGAGUCCCGCAUGCAGAUGGACCUGCGGUGCAUUAGCUGGUUGGAGAGGUAACGGCUCACCAAGGCGACGAUGCAUAGCCGGCCUGAGAGGGCGGACGGCCACACUGGGACUGAGACACGGCCCAGACUCCUGCGGGAGGCAGCAGUAGGGAAUUUUCGUCAAUGGGGGGAACCCUGAACGAGCAAUGCCGCGUGAGCGAGGAAGGUCUUCGGAUCGUAAAGCUCUGUUGCCGGGGACAAAAGGCAGAAAGAGUGGAAAGCUUUCUGAGUGAUGGUACCCGGCGAGGAAGUCACGGCUAACUACGUGCCAGCAGCCGCGGUAAUACGUAGGUGGCGAGCGUUAUCCGGAAUGAUUGGGCGUAAAGGGUGCGCAGGCGGCCGGGCAAGUCCGCAGUAAAAACUGGAGGCUCAACCUUCAGGGGCUGCGGAAACUGUCCGGCUGGAGAGCAGGAGAGGACGGUGGAACUCCAUGUGUAGCGGUAAAAUGCGUAGAUAUAUGGAAGAACACCGGUGGCGAAGGCGGCCGUCUGGCCUGCAUCUGACGCUGAGGCA
rnacentral:rRNA from 1 species